rnacentral:rRNA from 1 species
AGGGCACACGGUGGAUGCCUUGGCACCAGGAGCCGAUGAAGGACGUAGGAGACUGCGAAAAGCCUUGGGGAGCUGUCAACCGAGCUGAGAUCCAAGGGUAUCCGAAUGGGGAAACCCGGCCCCAGUCAUGUGGGGUCACCCACGCCUGAACACAUAGGGCGUGUGGAGGGAACGCGGGGAAGUGAAACAUCUCAGUACCCGCAGGAAGAGAAAACAACCGUGAUUCCGUGAGUAGUGGCGAGCGAAAGCGGAAGAGGCUAAACCGUAUUCGUGUGAUACCCGGCAGGGGUUGCGUGUGCGGGGUCGUGGGACCUGUUCGUCAGUUCUGCCGAGCUGGCAAGAAGUCAUAAAACGGUGUUGUUAGCGGAACGCGUCUGGAAAGCGUGGCCGUAGAGGGUGAAAGUCCCGUACGCGAAAACUCACCGUCUUCUUACAGUGUUCCCAAGUAGCAGCGUACUCGUGAAAUUCGCUGUGAAUCUGGCGGGACCACCCGCUAAGCCUGAAUACUACCUGGUGACCGAUAGCGGACUAGUACCGUGAGGGAAAGGUGAAAAGUACCCCGGGAGGGGAGUGAAAUAGUACCUGAAACCGUGUGCCUACAAUCCGUCGGAGCCUUUAGGGGUGACGGCGUGCCUUUUGAAGAAUGAGCCUGCGAGUUAGUGCUGCGUGGCGAGGUUAACCCGUGUGGGGUAGCCGUAGCGAAAGCGAGUCCGAAUAGGGCGUUUGAGUCGCGUGGUCUAGACCCGAAGCGGAGUGAUCUAGCCAUGGCCAGGGUGAAGCGUGGGUAAGACCGCGUGGAGGCCCGAACCCACCAGGGUUGAAAACCUGGGGGAUGAGCUGUGGUUAGGGGUGAAAGGCCAAUCAAACUCCGUGAUAGCUGGUUCUCCCCGAAAUGCAUUUAGGUGCAGCGUCGUGUGUUUCGUGCCGGAGGUAGAGCACUGGAUGGUCUAGGGGGCCCACAAGCUUACCGAAAUCAACCAAACUCCGAAUGCCGGUACGUGAGAGCGCGGCAGUGAGACUGCGGGGGAUAAGCUUCGUAGUCGAGAGGGAAACAGCCCAGAACGCCGGCUAAGGCCCCUAAGUGUGUGCUAAGUGGGAAAGGAUGUGGGGUCGCCCAGACAACCAGGAGGUUGGCUUAGAAGCAGCCACCCUUUAAAGAGUGCGUAAUAGCUCACUGGUCAAGUGGUCCUGCGCCGACAAUGUAGCGGGGCUCAAGCACACCGCCGAAGCCGUGUCAUUUCGAUUUAGGUCGGGAUGGGUAGGGGAGCGUCGUUCAGCCAUUGAAGCGCCGGAGUGAUCCAGGUGUGGAGGCUGGACGAGUGAGAAUGCAGGCAUGAGUAGCGAAAGACGAGUGGGAAACUCGUCCGCCGGAUGACCAAGGGUUCCUGGGCCAGGCUAAUCCGCCCAGGGUAAGUCGGGACCUAAGGCGAGGCCGACAGGCGUAGUCGAUGGACAACGGGUUGAUAUUCCCGUACCCGUGUGAACGCGCCCAUGGCGAACCUUGUGAUACUAACCGCCCAAAGCCUGUCCUGAGUCUUCGGACGAGGGACUACGUGGAGCGCGGGACCUGAACUUGUAGUAGUCAAGCGAUGGGGUGACGCAGGAGGGUAGCUCCGCCAGUGAGUGGUAGUACUGGUGUAAGCGUGUAGGCCGUCUGGUAGGCAAAUCCGCCAGGCAUUAAGGCUGAGACGUGAUGCAUAGCCGAUUGAGGCGAAGUAGAGUGAUCCCAUGCUGCCGAGAAAAGCCUCUAGUGAGUGUUCAUGCGGCCCGUACCCCAAACCGACACAGGUGGUCAGGUAGAGAAUGGCCGCAGAGACCAGCGAGAAGCGACUGUUUACUAAAAACACAGGUCCGUGCGAAGUCGCAAGACGAUGUAUACGGACUGACGCCUGCCCGGUGCUGGAACGUUAAGGGGACCGGUUAGCUCUUCGGGGCGAAGCUGAGAACUUAAGCGCCAGUAAACGGCGGUGGUAACUAUAACCAUCCUAAGGUAGCGAAAUUCCUUGUCGGGUAAGUUCCGACCUGCACGAAUGGCGUAACGACUUCUCGACUGUCUCAACCACAGGCCCGGCGAAAUUGCAUUACGAGUAAAGAUGCUCGUUACGCGCGGCAGGACGGAAAGACCCCGGGACCUUUACUAUAGCUUGGUAUUGGUGUUCGGUUCGGCUUGUGUAGGAUAGGUGGGAGACUGUGAAGCGCUGACGCCAGUCAGUGUGGAGUCGUCGUUGAAAUACCACUCUGGUCGUACUGGAUGUCUAACCUCGGUCCGUGAUCCGGAUCAGGGACAGUGCCUGGUGGGUAGUUUAACUGGGGCGGUUGCCUCCCAAAGGGUAACGGAGGCGCUCAAAGGUUCCCUCAGCCUGGUUGGCAAUCAGGUGUCGAGUGCAAGUGCACAAGGGGGCUUGACUGUGAGACCGACAGGUCGAGCAGGGACGAAAGUCGGAACUAGUGAUCCGGCCAUGGCUUGUGGAAGCGUGGUCGCUCAACGGAUAAAAGGUACCCCGGGGAUAACAGGCUGAUCUUGCCCAAGAGUCCAUAUCGACGGCAUGGUUUGGCACCUCGAUGUCGGCUCGUCGCAUCCUGGGGCUGGAGUAGGUCCCAAGGGUUGGGCUGUUCGCCCAUUAAAGCGGUACGCGAGCUGGGUUUAGAACGUCGUGAGACAGUUCGGUCCCUAUCCGCCGCGCGCGUAGGAUACUUGCGGAAGGCUGUCCCUAGUACGAGAGGACCGGGACGGACGGACCUCUGGUGUGCCAGUUGUCCUGCCAAGGGCAUUGCUGGUUGGCUACGUUCGGAAGGGAUAACCGCUGAAAGCAUCUAAGCGGGAAGCCUGUUCCUAGAUGAGGUAUCCCACCCCUUUGU